rnacentral:rRNA from 1 species
UACGGGGGGGGCAAGCGUUGUUCGGAAUUACUGGGCGUAAAGGGCUGGUAGGCGGCCAACUAAGUCGGAUGUGAAAUCCCCAGGCUUAACCUGGGAACUGCAUCCGAUACUGGUCGGCUUGAAUCCGGGAGAGGGAUGCAGAAUUCCAGGUGUAGCGGUGAAAUGCGCAGAUAUCAGGAGGAACACCAAUGGCGAAGGCAGCUCGCUGGGACGUGACUGACGCUGAGACGCGAAAGCGUGGGGAGCAAACAGG